AUACGUAGGUGGCGAGCGUUGUCCGGAAUUACUGGGUGUAAAGGGCGCGCAGGCGGGGAUGCAAGUCAGAUGUGAAAUACCGGUGCUUAACACCGGGGCUGCAUCUGAAACUGUGUUUCUUGAGUGUCGGAGAGGGAAGCGGAAUUCCCAGUGUAGCGGUGAAAUGCGUAGAGAUUGGGAGGAACACCAGUGGCGAAGGCGGCUUUCUGGACGACAACUGACGCUGAGGCGCGAAAGCGUGGGGAGCAAACAGGAUUAGAUACCCUGGUAGUCCACGCCGUAAACGAUGGAUACUAGGUGUAGGAGGUAUCGACCCCUUCUGUGCCGGAGUUAACACAAUAAGUAUCCCACCUGGGGAGUACGGCCGCAAGGUUGAA
rnacentral:rRNA from 1 species